rnacentral:ncRNA from 1 species
CAGGGUGAUCCUAUGCUGCCGAGAAAAGCCUCGACGCGAGGGACUAGCCGCCCGUACCCUAAACCGACUCAGGUGGUCAGGUAGAGAAUACCAAGGCGAUCGAGAGAAUCGUGGUUAAGGAACUCGGCAAAAUGCCCCCGUAACUUCGGGAGAAGGGGGGGCCUGAGGGGUGAGGCCACUAGCUGGCUAGCCUUUCGGGCCGCAGAGACCAGGGAGAAGCGACUGUUUACUAAAAACACAGGUCCGUGCGAAGUCGCAAGACGAUGUAUACGGACUGACGCCUGCCCGGUGCUGGAAGGUUAAGAGGACGGGUCAGCCGCGAGGCGAAGCUCAGAAUUUAAGCCCCAGUAAACGGCGGUGGUAACUAUAACCAUCCUAAGGUAGCGAAAUUCCUUGUCGGGUAAGUUCCGACCUGCACGAAUGGCGUAACGACUUCUCCGCUGUCUCGACCGCGAACUCGGCGAAAUUGCACUACGAGUAAAGAUGCUCGUUUCGCGCAGCAGGAA